rnacentral:rRNA from 1 species
UGGCGGACGGGUGAGUAACGCGUGGAAAACCUGCCGUAUACUGGGGGAUAACACUUAGAAAUAGGUGCUAAUACCGCAUAAGCGCACAGCUUCGCAUGAAGCGGUGUGAAAAACUCUGGUGGUAUACGAUGGUUCCGCGUCUGAUUAGCUAGUUGGUGGGGUAAUGGCCUACCAAGGCAACGAUCAGUAGCCGGCCUGAGAGGGUGAAGGCCACAUUGGGACUGAGACACGGCCCAAACUCCUACGGAAGGCAGCAG